rnacentral:rRNA from 1 species
CAGGCUUAACACAUGCAAGUCGAGGGGCAGCAGGAUCUAGCAAUAGAUUGCUGGCGACCGGCGCACGGGUGAGUAACACGUAUCCAACCUGCCGAUAACUCGGGGAUAGCCUUUCGAAAGAAAGAUUAAUACCCGAUAGUAUAAUCAGACCGCAUGGUUUGAUUAUUAAAGAAUUUCGGUUAUCGAUGGGGAUGCGUUCCAUUAGGCAGUUGGUGAGGUAACGGCUCACCAAACCUUCGAUGGAUAGGGGUUCUGAGAGGAAGGUCCCCCACAUUGGAACUGAGACACGGUCCAAACUCCUACGGGAGGCAGCAGUGAGGAAUAUUGGUCAAUGGACGCGAGUCUGAACCAGCCAAGUAGCGUGAAGGAUGACUGCCCUAUGGGUUGUAAACUUCUUUUAUAUGGGAAUGAAGUUUUCCACGUGUGGAAUUUUGUAUGUACCAUAUGAAUAAGGAUCGGCUAACUCCGUGCCAGCAGCCGCGGUAAUACGGAGGAUCCGAGCGUUAUCCGGAUUUAUUGGGUUUAAAGGGAGCGUAGGUGGACAGUUAAGUCAGUUGUGAAAGUUUGCGGCUCAACCGUAAAAUUGCAGUUGAUACUGGCUGUCUUGAGUACAGUAGAGGUGGGCGGAAUUCGUGGUGUAGCGGUGAAAUGCUUAGAUAUCACGAAGAACUCUGAUUGCGAAGGCAGCUCACUGGACUGCAACUGACACUGAUGCUCGAAAGUGUGGGUAUCAAACAGGAUUAGAUACCCUGGUAGUCCACACAGUAAACGAUGAAUACUCGCUGUUUGCGAUAUACAGUAAGCGGCCAAGCGAAAGCAUUAAGUAUUCCACCUGGGGAGUACGCCGGCAACGGUGAAACUCAAAGGAAUUGACGGGGGCCCGCACAAGCGGAGGAACAUGUGGUUUAAUUCGAUGAUACGCGAGGAACCUUACCCGGGCUUAAAUUGCAUUUGAAUAUAUUGGAAACAGUAUAGCCGUAAGGCAAAUGUGAAGGUGCUGCAUGGUUGUCGUCAGCUCGUGCCGUGAGGUGUCGGCUUAAGUGCCAUAACGAGCGCAACCCUUAUCUUUAGUUACUAACAGGUCAUGCUGAGGACUCUAGAGAGACUGCCGUCGUAAGAUGUGAGGAAGGUGGGGAUGACGUCAAAUCAGCACGGCCCUUACGUCCGGGGCUACACACGUGUUACAAUGGGGGGUACAGAAGGCAGCUACCUGGUGACAGGAUGCUAAUCCCAAAAGCCUCUCUCAGUUCGGAUCGAAGUCUGCAACCCGACUUCGUGAAGCUGGAUUCGCUAGUAAUCGCGCAUCCGCCAUGGCGCGGUGAAUACGUUCCCGGGCCUUGUACACACCGCCCGUCAAGCCAUGAAAGCCGGGGGUACCUGAAGUACGUAACCGCAAGGAGCGUCCUAGGGUAAAACUGGUAAUUGGGGCUAAGUC